AGGAGGAAGCACCAAGUGGUGAAGACACAUUUAGAAUGGUGUUUACGAAUUGUCGCCGAGAGAUUAUGCUCGUGUGUUGAAAACACAUAUU
rnacentral:ncRNA from 1 species